CCUACGGGAGGCAGCAGUGGGGAAUAUUGGACAAUGGGCGAAAGCCUGAUCCAGCCAUGCCGCGUGUGUGAAGAAGGCCUUCGGGUUGUAAAGCACUUUCAGUGGGGAAGAAAGCCUUGGGGCUAAUACCCUCGAGGAAGGACAUCACCCACAGAAGAAGCACCGGCUAACUCCGUGCCAGCAGCCGCGGUAAUACGGAGGGUGCGAGCGUUAAUCGGAAUUACUGGGCGUAAAGCGCGCGUAGGCGGUCUGAUAAGCCGGUUGUGAAAGCCCCGGGCUCAACCUGGGAACGGCAUCCGGAACUGUCAGGCUAGAGUGCAGGAGAGGAAGGUAGAAUUCCCGGUGUAGCGGUGAAAUGCGUAGAGAUCGGGAGGAAUACCAGUGGCGAAGGCGGCCUUCUGGACUGACACUGACGCUGAGGUGCGAAAGCGUGGAUAGCAAACAGGAUUAGAUACCCGGGUAGUC
rnacentral:rRNA from 1 species